AGCGGGGUAGAGGAAUUGGUCAACUCAUCAAACUCAUGAUUUGAAGGCUGCAGGUUCGAAUCCUGUCCCCGCCU
rnacentral:tRNA from 1 species